rnacentral:rRNA from 1 species
GGAUAACCUACCCUUAGGACUGGGAUAACCCUGGGAAACUGGGGCUAAUACCGGAUAGGCAAUUAUUCCUGCAAUGGUUUUUUGUUUAAAUGUUUUUUCGCCUAAGGAUGGGUCUGCGGCCGAUUAGGUAGUUGGUCAGGUAAUGGCUUAUCAAGCCGUUGAUCGGUACGGGUUGUGAGAGCAAGAGCCCGGAGAUGGAACCUGAGACAAGGUUCCAGGCCCUACGGGGUGCAGCAGGCGCGAAACCUCCGCAAUGUGAGAAAUCGCGACGGGGGGAUCCCAAGUGCCAUUCUUAACGGGAUGGCUUUUCAUUAGUGUAAAGAGCUUUUGGAAUAAGAGCUGGGCAAGACCGGUGCCAGCCGCCGCGGUAACACCGGCAGCUCUAGUGGUAACAAUUUUUAUUGGGCCUAAAGCGUCCGUAGCCGGUUUAAUAAGUCUCUGGUGAAAUCCUGUAGCUUAACUGUGGGAAUUGCUGGAGAUACUAUUAGACUUGAGACCGGGAGAGGUUAGAGGUACUCCCAGGGUAGAGGUGAAAUUCUGUAAUCCUGGGAGGACCGCCUGUUGCGAAGGCGUCUAACUGGAACGGUUCUGACGGUGAGGGACGAAAGUUAGGGGCGCGAACCGGAUUAGAUACCCCGGUAGUCCUAACUGUAAACGAUGCGGACUUGGUGUUGGGGUGGCUUUGAGCU